UCCCUCUCAGCUCAGUUGGUAGAGCGCGUCACUAGUAUAGCUGCCGCGCAACUGUGUUAUGACGAGGUCAGUCGUUCAAAUCGGCUAGCGGGAA